rnacentral:lncRNA from 1 species
AUAGCGGUGAAAGACCUAAAAAGAAAUUAAUUUAUUAAAAUAGAGAUAAUUACUUAUAUAGUUCUGAAAAGUUGCUGACUUUUUUAUUUAUCUCUCUUAGAAGGCUAAAUAUUAAAAUAUCCUUUUAAGGUUUCAAAGUCUUUUAAAUAUAGCCCUAGAUUUAAUUAAAUUUUAUUAAAGAACGGCUAGAAACAGUUGUUAUCUCUGUGAAAUUAUCAUUUUGUCCUUUUAAAUAUAUCAUUCUAUCGUUUAUUACUGUUUUUAUUUGCCCUCAAGUUAGAGGCAAAUUUUUUUUUUUGACUUUUUGCCUUUUCAAAUGUAUUCUUUUAAUGUCGUCAACUUUUCUUAUUCGUUCUUAAGUUAGCUAGGGAUAAAAUAGGUAUUUUGAAUUAUUUUUAACUAUGGUAAAAAUUUGACUCAGAUUUAAUCCGAGUGACUUAUAGGCAUUAACAGUCGGAGCAUAUUUGAAUAACGGGGAAAUAUAUAAGAAAUAUAUACGAAAUAACAAAAAAAAAUAAAGAUAAAUAAGAUUAUUUAGAGGUUUGAGAUGUAUAUAGACAAUUAUCCUGUUAAACUAUAUUUUUUAUAUAC